rnacentral:rRNA from 1 species
CAGAAGGGAGCUUGCUCCCGGAUGUUAGCGGCGGACGGGUGAGUAACACGUGGGUAACCUGCCUGUAAGACUGGGAUAACUCCGGGAAACCGGAGCUAAUACCGGAUAGUUCCUUGAACCGCAUGGUUCAAGGAUGAAAGACGGUUUCGGCUGUCACUUACAGAUGGACCCGCGGCGCAUUAGCUAGUUGGUGAGGUAAUGGCUCACCAAGGCGACGAUGCGUAGCCGACCUGAGAGGGUGAUCGGCCACACUGGGACUGAGACACGGCCCAGACUCCUACGGGAGGCAGCAGUAGGGAAUCUUCCGCAAUGGACGAAAGUCUGACGGAGCAACGCCGCGUGAGUGAUGAAGGUUUUCGGAUCGUAAAGCUCUGUUGUUAGGGAAGAACAAGUGCGAGAGUAACUGCUCGCACCUUGACGGUACCUAACCAGAAAGCCACGGCUAACUACGUGCCAGCAGCCGCGGUAAUACGUAGGUGGCAAGCGUUGUCCGGAAUUAUUGGGCGUAAAGGGCUCGCAGGCGGUUUCUUAAGUCUGAUGUGAAAGCCCCCGGCUCAACCGGGGAGGGUCAUUGGAAACUGGGAAACUUGAGUGCAGAAGAGGAGAGUGGAAUUCCACGUGUA